GCUUUUGGUUCAGUGGUAGAAUGCUCGCCUGCCACACGGGCACCCCAGGUUCGAAUUCCGGCCUAUGCAUUUUUUUUCUACAAUUUUUAAAACUCAUUUAUAUAUUAUAGUAGCGGGCGCCUCUCGGGUUCGAUUCCCGGCCGAUGCA